UACAGAGGGGGCAAGCGUUGUUCGGAAUUACUGGGCGUAAAGGGCGCGUAGGCGGCCCUCUAAGUCAUGCGUGAAAUCCCCGGGCUCAACCCGGGAACUGCAUCUGAUACUGGAGGGCUCGAAUCCGGGAGAGGGAUGUGGAAUUCCAGGUGUAGCGGUGAAAUGCGUAGAUAUCUGGAGGAACACCGGUGGCGAAGGCGGCAUCCUGGACCGGCAUUGACGCUGAGGCGCGAAAGCCAGGGGAGCAAACGGG
rnacentral:rRNA from 1 species